rnacentral:rRNA from 1 species
GACGAACGCUGGCGGCGUGCUUAACACAUGCAAGUCGAACGGAAAGGCCCUGCUUUCGUGGGGUGCUCGAGUGGCGAACGGGUGAGUAACCUGUGAGUAUCCUGCCCUUGACUUUGGGAUAACUUCAGGAAACUGGUGCUAAUACAGGAUAGGAGCUCCUGCUGCAUGGUGGGGGUCGGAAAGCUUCGGCGGUUGGGGAUGGACUCGCGGCUAAUCAGCUUGUUGGUGGGGUACUGGCUUACCCAGGCAUUGACGGGUAGCCGGCCUGAGAGGUUGACCGGCCACAUGGGGACUGAGAUACGGCCCAGACUCCUACGGGAGGCAGCAGUGGGGAAUAUUGCACAAUGGGCGGAAGCCUGAUGCAGCAACGCCGCGUGCGGGAUGACGGCCUUCGGGUUGUAAACCGCUUUCGCCUGUGACGAAGCGUGAGUGACGGUAAUGGGUAAAGAAGCACCGGCUAACUACGUG